rnacentral:misc_RNA from 1 species
UGUAAUCAUCUCCAUUAUACACCUGAAUUUGAAAGAGAAUAAAGGUCAACUUGGAAGAAAGGUAAAAUGUACAAGACAAACAUUAAAGCAUAUGGAAAUUCCUUUUCAUUUGAAUUCUGGAUCCUUGAACACAACACAGUUGAAAUUCAUCCAUUCAUUGACUGGUUCAAAACAUUAAUACUGCAUUUCUUUUCCACAGUAAACGACUCAGAAAAUGAAGUAGCUCUUUU